ACCAAAUUCAAUUAUAUUCCCUUCUCCAGUACGUAGCCCCCUUCCCUCAUUUUUCUCCACCAAAAGAAAAAUUCCCAAAAAGUUCAUACUCAAAACCAGAAGAACCCUAGCUCAUCGGCGCCUCCUUCCUCAGCGUCGAUCGACGCUUCGUCGGGCCAUCGGAGCGUCACCACUCCAGUCCAUCAUCGUUCUCAGUCGCCGGCGCUUCCUAUCGGUGGGAGUUCCGCCAUCGCGCAUAGUUGCACGGCGGAGGCUUCGAAGUUUCUCCGAACGAUGAGGUAGCCGCCCCUGCCGCGUCUCACAGAGGCAUCCGCCGUUGCUGACGCCACCUUCGGCAGAGAGGGGAGUGACUCCUCCAUCUUCUCCGAUCCAAAACGGAUCAGACCUCUACUAUCUCCCCCGUUUCGAAAUCGGGGCUCCAUCCCAUCGAUCUACCUCGGCGCCUUAAUCGUUCGGUCACCGUGGUCUCACUUAUCCACCUCAUCUCCGGCCGCUUGACGAGCAGGGCCGUCGCCCGCCAUGUCGCCCAGCGCCGCUUCUUCCUCGUCUCUCUGACCUUGCGUAGCUAAGUCUCCUUCCUUCCCCUUUCUACUUGAACUAAAUUUUAGUCACUUCUCGUUUAUUUUCAGGAGUAGUUGGUGGACUAGCACUCCUUUGAGUGAUUUUGUAUAUUUGUUUCCAGUUUAUACAUCUUACAGAUUUUGAAGCUAGGUGUUACUUUAAGACAAGGUCUUGAAUCUACUAAAAACUUGUUGUUGACUAAGGUUUGUGCAAUAUUGAGAAUAGCUAGAUCUUAACAUGCCACGCCUAAGUGUCUGUACUGCUGUGAUUACUACUAAAAGUGGGAUCUCAAUUACAUGAUGGUAUGACUUGUUAUCUGAGCUUGAGAGUGAGUGAGUUUACCUUCACUGAAACUGUUUGGCUGCUCCCUACUCUGGCCUUGAUCGCCCUCACUCCUCAACUUGUUUCUUAGUUGAAUGAAAAUGCUGUGUGAUAGAGGAUGGAACCGAGGGGAGUUAGCAUGUGUAUAUAUACACAUUUCUUGUAAUUGAAAGCUGCAAAAGCUGAGUGUUGGCUGGAAAAAGGACUCCACAGGUUGUGCAGCUGGCUGCUCUCUCUGCAGCUCUGCAGAGCAUGUACUCUGAGCCCCUGAUUUCCCCUCUAACUGAUUUUGGUGGUUUGUGGAGAGUACUCGUGAAUUCAUAGGAGUUUUACAACUUCUUUUGUUGCUAUAUUGCAGGCCCUCUCAGUCCUUAACUGCUACUAGCUGGAGUGAGGGUGGUUAGAAAUGGGGUGCAGAUGCUGCGAUUUCUCUUUGCGAUUUGCUGCACUCGGUGCUCAGGCAAAUGGCAGCCUGCCAUCUUUCUCCUUUAACCAAGUUUGGUCUCCAAACCUUAAAGUACGAGGGCUGAUCUAUAUUGGUGUUGGCAGCGUCUAUUGCUAGCUGCCGAGGCUGUGUUCCUCGAUGACUCGCCUCUUCGGGCUUUCUGGGAUCUGGGCCUAGACGGCCUAGUGUUGAAGACCGACGUAGUUGCUAGGAAUUCAACUAUGUAAUAGUGUAGCUCGACUUAAACGAAAUUCCCAACUUGUACAAAAAUUCGACAAAGAUUGGUGUAUAUUUCUUUCUAACAUUUGUAAUUUGUUAGCUUAGAAAUUUCUGGAAAUUUGUAUUUAUACUCUUAUUUAAGAAAUAUAAAUACUCCUUCAUUCGUAAA